GGGGUAAUAACUUGGUGAAAGAGUUUGCAUAUAUUUGAAUUUAUUACAUUGUAUUUUUGACUUAUAAUAACUGUGUAAAUCUGUAUAAAUUAACAUAUAUUAGUUGGGCGAGAAGUUGGUUGAGCUUAAUAUGGCCACAUUAGAUCUUAUAAAUUAACUAUUCUUUGCAUUUAAGUCAUUUAAACCAAACCCCCCUACGUUUUCUAAGGAUUUUUAUGGUUAUUUUGUAAGUUGGUCAAUCUAACAACUUUUCAAAAAUUUCACUUAUGUUUAUAGACUUUUGUGGAUUGAUUCUUUCAGCACAUCGUUUUCCUGAAAUGGGCCUAAAACAAUUUUAAUGAUUAACUAAACGGGCCGCAUACAUAAUAAAAUUUGUUUUCUUUUUAAAUUGUUACGUACCCAAAAUCAAUAAGAACCCAGAAAAAAAUCUGAAUCCGGAAAACUGAACCAAAAAAUUAUUACCGAAUCUAAAUCGAAAUUGGUUAGAUAUUCGAAAAGAUUCAAAGUUUUGGUAUCUAGAGAACCAAAACCAAUCCCGACCCAAACCAAAAUAUUUCAGGUUUUCAAAUCGAUAUGAAUCAGAUUUAUAUACUAAAAAUAUAUAAAAAUAUCUAAAAAUAUCCAAAAUAUAUAAGAUAUUUUUAAGUUUUUCAAAACACUUGAAAAUAUAUACAAAUACUUUAAAAUACAUGUAUAAAAUAGCUAAACGAUAUUCAAAAUACCAAAGUACUUGAAAAUAUCUAUUGAUUUUCUAUCUAAAUAUUUAAGCUAAACUAUUUUUAUGUUAAUUUUAAGUAUUAUGACAUACAUUAUUUAAAUUUGUAUGUUAU
rnacentral:lncRNA from 1 species